CUCCUGUUGCAGGAGGAGCCGGUGGCUCGCCCGCUUCCUUGCUUGCUCACUCGCUCACCCAGGGUGGCACUCCGGAUAUACCUGCACAGAUUAACAUGGGGACCACUUCAAAAAAAUACAAAAACUAUGUGUACAUUUGAAAAACAUGUACAACUGCAAAUGCAUCCACUGGAAAAAAUAUUAAAAAGAAUAUCCAUUUCGGAAAAGUGUCCAUGGAAAUACACAUUGAAUCAGCAGCAUUGCAAAGAAACCCUCGGACUGAAGGGAUGACCAGGCCAUACCGCAUAAGGCCUAAAUAGAAGAAGAAGAAGAAGAAGAAGAAGAAGAAGAAGAAGAAGAAGAAG